GACGUAGGGCGCGAGCGUUGUCCGGAUUUAUUGGGCGUAAAGAGCUCGUAGGCGGCUUGUCGCGUCGUCCGUGAAAACUUGGGGCUCAACCCCAAGCUUGCGGUCGAUACGGGCAGGCUAGAGUUCGGUAGGGGAGACUGGAAUUCCUGGUGUAGCGGUGGAAUGCGCAGAUAUCAGGAGGAACACCGGUGCGAAGGCGGGUCUCUGGGCAUUAACUGACGCUGAGGAGCGAAAGCAUGGGGGAGCGAACAGG
rnacentral:rRNA from 1 species